rnacentral:rRNA from 1 species
CCCUUAGAUGUUCUGGGCCGCACGCGUGCUACACUGAGUGGAUCAGCGGGUCAGGUUGCGCGAAAGUGUUUCCUAAUCUUUAAAUCCGCUCGUGAUGGGGAUUGACGGUUGCAAUUUUCCGUCAUGAACGAGGAAUACCUUGUAAGCGCGGGUCAUCAUCCCGCGCUGAAUACGUCCCUGCCCUUUGUACACACCGCCCGUCGCUCCUACCGAUUGAGUGGUCCAGUGAGGCUUUGGGAUCUGGGCGGAAAGAGCGUUUCGCUGUUUCUGCCCGGAAAACUCAGUCGAACCUUAUCAUUUAGAGGAAGGAGAAGUCGUAACA